UUUGCCUUUUAAUUGGAGGCUCGUAUGAAUGGACACACGAGGGCAUAGGUGUCUCUUUUAUGGCCCUAUAAAUUACCCCCCAGGUGAAGAGACCUGGAUAAUAUAAAAAGACGAAAAGACCCUGUGGAGCUUUACUUAACUUGCCCUACUAUUUAAUAGAAGGAAACCUUUUUAGGGUAAAACAGUUUAGUUGGGGCGACUAAGGAGCACAAUAAACCCUCCUAUAUACCCUUCGGCCAUGCGCCCAUAACAGAUCCACAGCCGUGAAUAUAGACCCAGCUACCCCAGGGAUAACAGGCUAAUCUUCCUCGAGAGCCCACAUUGACAGGAAGGAUUGGCACCUCGAUGUUGGCUUAAGGUUCCUCCAAGGUGUAGCAGCUUUGGCAGUAGGUUUGUUCAACCUUUAAAACCU
rnacentral:rRNA from 1 species